rnacentral:lncRNA from 1 species
UACGCCAUUACCUUCAACAAAUGCCUCGCGAAAAGCGAUAAAUAGCCAAAUGCGUGAACCCCCACCCGCUGUUCUCUUUCAAAACGAUGGCAGAGGAAGUGCUAAAGUGUUAUAAUAAUACUCUCUCUCUCUGUGUGCUCGCCCGGUAUCUCUGUUGAGUAUCUUCAAAGAGCAUGGUAUCAUUCUCCUCUACCCCGCCUUUUCCCAUACCCGUUUGCAUCACGAAAGACUCCCUCACCCUCCCGAGAGAGGUUUCUUCUGGGUAAUGAGGGAGAGUGGUGUGAGACGGAAGGAGGUCGAUUUUUAAGGCUUCCGUGCUGUGAGCGUAAAGUGUACGUGAUAUGAUCGAUAUUCCAGGUGUGUUAUGCAACAGGAUGACUAUGAGCUAAUUCCACUGCAUCUGUCAUCCGUCAUAGCAAGACGGCUGAUCCCGUCUUCAUCCGUAUCUUCUCUGCACGCUACUGGUAACCAUUCCAAUACUAGGAGGAGGCCAGGGAGAUUUCUGCUUGAACCUCGAUAACUGUAGGCCUACUAUUGACUGCAGAUAAACGAAACUCAGUGGCGUAACAACCGUAAUGGACCAUGGUCUGCAGUUCCCGAAAAUCUGCUUUCUUGACCAUGGGCCCCGGAGUGCGUAAGCAUAUGCCCUGAACAAGUGGUCAGCUUAUCGCAGGACCCCCGCCCCAGUGUUUUGUACUCAUUUUAUCGACCCAAGUCAUGGAAAUCAAGGGAGGGAUGAAAGGCUGAGUCGACCUUGCCCAGCCCGGGAAUCGAAUCCCGGAUCUGUGGUGCUGCUGCGCCAUCCUUUCUAGAUAAGUAUAAACAAAUUUCUAUAAGCUCCUUAACUAUAGUUAAUAUAGCAAUAAUGAUUGCUAUUAUAGUAGUAACUAUUAUUGCUAUGUUUUAUGUUAACUAAAUAUUAAUGUAAUCAAGUUGUUAUUCUAAAUUUAUAUAUAAAAUUUGAAAAUUUUAUUUUAAAGUUUUGAAUUAGCGUUCCUAAUUUAAAAUUCCGAAAAGCUUUUCAUGUUCAAAAUCAAUAGGACUUUACGGCUCUGGUCAAUUCCUGGUCGAGUAACCAGAAAAAAGAUAUGCACAUAACUUCCUUUCCGUUGAAUUUCUGUCGAUAAAUCCAGUGAAAAUAAUCUUUUAAACAUAUGUACUUCUUCAGUGUUAUUUUGAAACGGUAUUUGAUAUCUAUAUAUGUUUAGCAAAUCUUCUAGUUAAUCCUUGUAGAGUGUCCCAACAAAAUCCUCGGAAUUAAUACGCUCCAAAAUGUACUUUUUUUAGAGACUGAGUAAUACUUUUGUGUGCUUGAAGCAGGAAACUUUUCCUGUUCUAGAAUGUGCAGUUUGAUUUAACCUGACUACGCUGGCAUUUUAUCUCUGUCAAUUCAUUUCUCAGCUUCGUUGCAGCUGAGAAAACAUAGAGCGUUAACCAAAAGAACAACAAGAUAUGAUUGAGAAUACGCACUACAAAAAUGGCGAGUAUUAUACGCAGAGUCUUAGGAAGCUCCGUGCAUUCUUUGAACGCGAAAGUGCACCUAAGGAAACAACAGUUCGCAGACAGACAAAGAAAUCUGAGGACCCACGUUCAACAACAGACAUAAAAUCACCAUGUCCUCGAUCCAGCCGGUCAGAAGAAAACAUCGCUGUUGUGCGUGACAGUGUUACUGGAAGUUCUAAAAAAUAUGAACUUAGAAUCUCAUAAAUUCUAAGCAGACUAACAAAGAAAGAAUUUUAAAAGUAAAUUUAGUAUGUUAUUAGCCACUUCACCAGGCAGAUAUAUGGAAAAGCGAAUGGAAUUUAAUCGAAAGACUUGGGUGUUGCAGAGCAAGUGGUGGAAGGCAUAUGCCAGUCAUUAUUUUUCAUUUAGCUCUUUCGGUAUGUAAAACCUGUUCCUCAUUUCUCUAAAAAUAAAGUGAUUUAUCGCCCAUGUUAAAUUUGAUGAUUGUUUUGAGAUAACCUUUACUGUAAAAACUUUCAUA